UCCACCUCUUCCGCAUUCACAGCUUCUCCCAGCGCGUGUGAUCAUCCCGCAGCCGUCCACGGUUCAUCUUCCUUGCAUUCCAACAGAUCCCAGCUCCAAUCCUCCUUCCGUUCGCGAUCAGAUCUCCAUUCCAGCAUCACAGCAGGAUCCUGCGUCCGGGUAUCUCGCGGCCAGCCAGCAUCCGCAUCCCGGAUGAUCGCCUCAUCCCGCGAUCAACGCCUCAAAAGUCCAUCCGGUCCGCUCAUCUUCUUCUGUGCGAGAAGGGAAGGGAGGGAGCUGGAUAUAUCUUGCUCGGCUGGGAAAGAGGUGGGGGAUCCCUCAUUCGAAAAACAGAGCAUCAGCCGUGUGAAAAAAAAAAGAGAGGAAGAAACAGAGCAUGCCCUGUUCUUCCGAAAAGAAAUAAAAAAAAAGAGGGAGAGGCUAAUAUUUUAAUGGAGGGCUGAUAUCUUGUGAAAGGUGAUGGAGGAACCUUUGAUGUCUUAUUUUCUUUCAAGUAAAGUCUGAACAAUUGAUCUCUUUGAUUUACAUCUAUUCAUAUGUUUUUGAUUCUUGCAUGUUUAUUUAUGAGAUAGAUCUUUUAUGGUUUAUAUUUCUUGAUUCAUGGAUUGUUUCGAUGUUUGAUUUGUCGUAGACGUAAUCGGCACGAUAAAUGUUUAGAUCUUGAAUUCAUGUUUUCAAAUUGUAUACUCCAUGAUUGGAACUAUUCUAUCUGAUUGAUCCUUAAUCAAAAAUCGCAGAAUUUAAUUGUUGAAAAUAAUAUCAUCGAGGGGGAUCCCAGAUUCCUACACUAUCUUAAUCUAUCCAAAUUUUAAUUCUCUGUUUACUGAUUUAUUUUCUAUUUGCGAAACAUCAUCUUUAUCCACAAAUUUAUUGAAUUAAUUAAUCU
rnacentral:lncRNA from 1 species